rnacentral:pre_miRNA from 1 species
CUUGUACUUCCUUUGUCCCAAACUCUUGUCUUGGAUUUAUUUAGAUAUGAAUGUAUGUAGUCACAUUUUAGUAUUUAGAUACAUCCAUUUCUAGACAAACCUAAGACAAGAAUUUUGGGAUGGAGGGAGUAUUAA